rnacentral:rRNA from 1 species
UGGGGAAUUUUGCGCAAUGGGCGAAAGCCUGACGCAGCAACGCCGCGUGGAGGAUGAAGGUCUUUGGAUUGUAAACUCCUGUCAGCAGGGAAGAAGGCCUCGGCGCAGAGCCGAGGAUUGACGGUACCUGCAGAGGAAGCCCCGGCUAACUCUGUGCCAGCAGCCGCGGUAAUACAGAGGGGGCAAGCGUUAUUCGGAAUUAUUGGGCGUAAAGGGCGCGUAGGCGGUCGUGCAAGUGGAAGGUGAAAUCCCUCGGCUCAACCGAGGAACUGCCUUUCAAACUGCAUGACUUGAGUCCGGGAGAGGUGAGUGGAAUUCCCAGUGUAGCGGUGAAAUGCGUAGAUAUUGGGAGGAACACCAGUGGCGAAGGCGGCUCACUGGACCGGAACUGACGCUGAGGCGCGAAAGCGUGGGGAGCAAACGG